UACUUACGGUAUGAUUUUAUUCCUUUCAUAUGAUAUUAUAAAAGGCAAAACAAAUCUGCAGUCUUUAUAAAAAGCCAAACGGUGGUUGCCUGGGGACAGGGGUAGGCAGCAAAUGUUACAAGGAAACCAUCUCAAAGAAUGAAAUGUUGUAUAUAUAUAUUUUUUCUUUUUUUGUCUUUUGUCUUUUGAGGACCACAUCCACAGCAUAUGGAGGUUCUGGGGUUUGCCCAAGUUAAGAGCUCUGCAACUUUGCCCCCGGGUGGUGCCAGAGGCUGGCCCAUGAUGCCAUCUGUGCUGGCACAGGCUGAGGACUUGCACCCACCCUCUCACCUGCCCUGCCCCACCUCCGUGCUCCAGCUCCACACCCCUAAGGGGCCAAGCAAUUUGUCUAGGCCCAAGCAGGCAGGUGCCGUUCCUGAACUCCGUCUUACUCUAACUUUUAAAAGUCACUUUAUAUACUUUUAACUUUGAGUCAUAGAAGAAACACACAAAAGCAGGCACGAUAUAAGAAAUUCAAAAGCUACCAAAGACUACAAAAUGAAAACUGAGAAUUCUUCCCAACCACCUCCCUGAGCUCACCUACCUCCUGCCUCAAGAGGAAGCCUGGCUCAUGUCCCUGGAGGCGACCACAGGUCAUCAGGGCAUAUUAUCUGGCAAAACAACAGUCAAAAUGCUUGCUGUGGACCAGCGGUUGCCACAGGCCUCUUGUUGUUCUAGUCCCUUCUGGUUUCAUGGUCCCUAAGCCCGAGGCCCAGCCUGGGGUGUCAGGUCAGGGCAGGGAGAGGCAGUGCGGGUCUGACCAGGGGCGGCAGGGGCGGCGGCGGCGGUGGUGGUGGCGGCGGCGGCAGCGGAGGCGACAGCCAGGAGCAUGCAGGCGGGAACAGACCGUACUCACGCAAGGUUUGUCUGGGAUCACGCAGUGGCCUUGUCUUCCUCGUCUCCUCCCUCCCUUUACCACCCACGGGCCCCAGGACACCCUUGACCUUCUCUCGCACCAAAGCUGGGUUAAGAAGGAGGCUUUCAGGGGCUCUUCCACAGCCCUUAAAACUCAGGGUCAGCUCUUGGAGUUCCUGUCAUGGUGCAGCAGAAACAAAUCCGACUAGGAACCAUGAGGUUGCGGAUUCGAUCCCUGGCCUCGCUCAGUGGGUUAAGGAUCCAGCAUUGCCAGGAGCUGUGGUGUAGGAUCUGGCGUUGCUAUGGCUGUGGCAUAGGCUGGCAGCUGUAGCUCCGAUUUGACCCCUAGCCUGGGAACCUCCAUAUGCCACGGAUUCGGCCCUAAAAAGGCAAAAAAACAAAACAAAACAAAAAAACCCCUCAGCAUCAGCGCUUGCUUCUGGGUCUAACCUUAUUGCGGGUUUUACACCCUGUCUCCAGGGUCCAGUCCUAACUGCAUGCCUUCGACCUUCUAUGUCGCUAUAGGGGUAAUAUGUCCAGCACACCAGAUCCUCCUAAUUCGGUGGCCUGUCCCCGCCCUCACGUGUCCCCUGGCCUUGAAUCACAGCCCCACGGCAGAGCCUGAGAGUCUGCAGUGGCCCUCCUGGUGCAGGGCUCCAGGUGGCAGAAGGGACCUCCUCCUGGUGCCUGUGACCUGGCUGUCUCUUUAGUAUCCCCUCCCCAUGGUGAACCAGUCCAGGUAACGAGCUGUGUCCUAGUACAAGCCAGGUCCCAAAAGCAGGAGAGAGACAGGUGGCAGAGAUAUGUGCUUCCAGGUACCCUGACCCCAUCAGGUGAUAUCACAGGCGGGGGUGGCAGGGAAGAACUGUCCAGAACACUUGUUUGAAAGCUGAAGAAGGAGUUUAGGUCACUGGCCAUUCUCAGCUCUUCCUGUGCACGCAAACACACACACACACACACAUACCCCCAGCCAUCGGGCACCAGCGCAGAGGCAGUGCCAGCUGACCACCGAUGCUGCUGGUGGUGUUUGUCUUCUCCGUCCACCUCUAUCCUGUGGUCUGUGCACAGCGUUGUGGGACAGGCAGGGUGUGGAAUUCUAGGACCAGUGUGAGCUGUCAGCUAAGGAAUAGCUUCUGAGCGCAUCCACCCAGAACUCUGCCUUCACAUGAAGAAUACAAGCCAGACCGAGAAUAAAACAGGGAGAUCAGGCCUGUGCUAUCCCAGGACACCCGAACAUUGAUGAGAAUUCCCCACCUGUCGGCCCUCUGGACCUUGACUCAGCUGCAGGGCACUGAGCUAUUGCUUAGAGGCAGAGCUGGUCCCCAGGAUGUGGAGAGAGGAGAAGCAGGCUCAGGACUUGCCAUGAGAUGCCAGGUGGAGGUUCCAGGUCUGAGAAUAAUGGGCUGUGACCUUGAGCCUCAGACAGCAAGCAGCAUGGACUCACAUAUCAUCUAAGGUCCUCUCCAUCUUCCACAUUUGGUGAGUCUAUGUUUUCCUCCAUUGCUCAAACAGGAAAAGCCACUGGUCUUCCUACCCAAGCUACUCCACCACAUUAGCAAGACCAGGAAAAGGCAUAUUUAUAUGUUUAACCAAGAUGGUGCUCCUAGUCACAAUAGCCAAGACAUGGAAACAACCUAAAUGUCCAUCGACGGAUGAAUGGAUUAAGAUGUGGUAUAUAUACACAAUGGAAUACUACUCGGCCAUAAAAAAGAAUGAAAUAAUGCCAUUUUGCAGCAACAUGGAUGGAACUAGAGACUCUCAUACUAAGUGAAGUAAGUCAGAUAGAGAAAGAGAAAUACCAUAUAAUAUCACAUAUCUGGAAUCUAAUAUAUGGCACAAAUGAACCUUUCCACAGAAAAGAAACUCAUGGACUUGGAAAACAGACUUGUGGUUGCCAAGGGGGAGGGGGAGGCAGUGGGAUGGACUGGGAAUUUGGGGUUAAUGGAUGCAAACUAUUGCCUUUGGAAUGGGUAAGCAACGAGAUCCUGCUGUAUAGCACUGGGAACUCUAUCUAGUCAUUUAUGACGGAGGAUGAUAAAGUGAGAAAAAGAAUGUAUACAUGUAUGUGUGACUGGGUCACCUUGCUGUACAGUAGAAAAUGGACAGAACACUGUAAACCAGCUACAAUGGGGAAAAAAUCAUUUAAAAAAAAAGAGAGAGAGAGAUGGUGCUCUUGGCCACCAUCCAGGCAUUUGCUGGGUGAUAUUCUCCUAACUGGAUGGAUGGGUAACUGGCCCACAGAGUCUUUGGAGAAGCAAAUUCUUGACUAUUCUCCUUGCCUGGGAUAGCUCAGAGUCACGCACACACAGUAGGCCUGCAGCAAGGCACUGAAUGAAAAGAGCAGGAUUGAGACAGCCAACCUUUCCCACAUAACCCACCAUAAAAUAAAGAACGCCCUGUGGAGGCUUUGGGGGUUUGAAAUGCAUCUCAUAAAGGAAAAAAGUCUCUGAGCUCAACUAAUUGACCCAGGGGUCGGCGUGCAGCGAAUGCCAACCUGCUAAGGGAACAUAAGUUGGCUCAGGUGGAAGAUACUGAGGUUACAAGACCACGCCUCUGCUUAGAGAGUUUCGAAAGCACCCAAGCAACAGGUACAGACAGGUCUCAGGAGGCUGUUCGAAGGAGCACAAUAUGAUCUAAUAGCUUUAUAAUGUCCUCGAGGAAGAUAGGAGUGUAUCAAAUUUGCUAUCUAGAACUAAGCAGGUAAUUAAAGCUUCCUACAUGUAAAACAAAGACUUGAAUUCAAUAACCUGGAGUUCUUUUAGGCUUUAACUUUCUGUAGCCAUUCAUAAAUUUAAAUAUCCUGGAAAUAAUCAUCUCGUACAUUACAUGCAUGCUCAGGGAAGAAAUAUUUUUAGGUUCAUUCCAGGUGCAUUCUAAACACAUUGAGAAAUUGGGAGUUCCUGUCGUGGCACAGCAGGAAUGAAUCUGACUAGGAACCAUGAGGUUGCGUGUUCAAUCCCUGGGCUCACUCAGUGGGUUAAGGAUCCAGCGUUGCCGUGAGCUGUGGUGUAGGUCGCAGAUGUGGCUUCAAUCCUGCGUGGCUGUGGCUCUGGCGUAGGCCAGCAGCUGCAGCUGCCCUAGCCUGGGAACUUCCAUAUGCCAAGGGUGCGGCCCUAAAAAGACAAAAAGACAAAAAAAAAAAAAAAAAA
rnacentral:lncRNA from 1 species